UCAGGAAUCUUGCACAAUGGGGGAAACCCUGAUGCAGCGACGUCGCGUGGAGGAAGACGGCCUUCGGGUUGUAAACUCCUUUUAACCGGGACGAGAAGGGACGGUACCGGUUGAAUAAGCCCCGGCUAACUCCGUGCCAGCAGCCGCGGUAAUACGGAGGGGGCGAGCGUUGUCCGAAUUCAUUGGGCGUAAAGCGCGUGUAGGCGGAUUCGAAAGCCUGAGGUGAAAGGUUGGGGCUCAACCCCACACAGUGCCUUGGGGACUUCGGGUCUGGAGGCAGGCAGGGGAUCGUGGAAUUCCUGGUGUAGCGGUGGAAUGCGUAGAGAUCAGGAAGAACACCCGUGGCGAAGGCGGCGGUCUGGGCCUGUGCUGACGCUGAGACGCGAAAGCGUGGGGAGCGAACGGG
rnacentral:rRNA from 1 species